GUUAAAAAGCUCGUAGUUGGAUUUCUGUCGAGGGCGGGCGGUCCGCACUAUGUGCGUGUAUCUUGUUCGGUCUUGGCAUCCUCUUGGGGAAUGCUUCUGUGCUUGAUUGCAUGGGGUGGAAUUCAAGACUUUUACUUUGAGGAAAUUAGAGUGUUCACGGCAAGCUACCGCUUUGAAUA
rnacentral:rRNA from 1 species